rnacentral:rRNA from 1 species
AAUGGCCGCAGUAUUUUGACUGUGCAAAGGUAGCAUAAUCAUUAGUUUCUUAAUUAGAAACUGGAAUGAAAGGUUGGACGAGAAAAUAACUGUCUCUUUAUAAAUUUUUUAGAAUUUUAUUUUUAAGUUAAAAAGCUUAAAUUAAUUUAAAAGACGAGAAGACCCUAUAGAGUUUUAUAUAAUUUAUAUUAAUAAUUAAAAUUGUAUUAGUUUAAUUUUAAUAUAAAUUAUAUUUGAUUGGGGUGAUUGAAAAAUUUAAUAAACUUUUUUUUUAUAAUAACAUUUAUUUAUGAAUUUAUGAUCCAUUUUUAUGAUUAAAAGAUUAAAUUACCUUAGGGAUAACAGCGUAAUUUCUUUUUAGAGUUCAAAUCGAUAAAGAAGUUUGCGACCUCGAUGUUGGAUUAAAAUUUAGUUUUGGUGUAGAAGCUAAAAUAAUUAGGUCUGUUCGACCUUUAAAAUUUUACAUGAUCUGAGUUUAAACCGGUGUGAGCCAGGUUGGUUUCUAUCUUUAAAACUAUAAGAAUAUUUUAGUACGAAAGGACCAAAUAUUUAUAAUAUUUAUUUAUGUUUGAAUAUUAGU